UACGGGGGGGGCAAGCGUUGUUCGGAAUUACUGGGCGUAAAGGGCUCGUAGGCGGCCAACUAAGUCGGAUGUGAAAUCCCCAGGCUCAACCUGGGAACUGCAUCCGAUACUGGAUGGCUUGAAUUCGGGAGAGGGAUGCAGAAUUCCAGGUGUAGCGGUGAAAUGCGUAGAUAUCUGGAGGAAUACCGGUGGCGAAGGCGGCAUCCUGGACCAAUAUUGACGCUGAGGAGCGAAAGCUAGGGGAGCAAACGGG
rnacentral:rRNA from 1 species